GCCCCCUCCGCCGCCCUGGCGGGGCGCGCACCUGGCACCUGGCGCGCUUGCGAGGCGCCCAUCAAUCCAGCGGCGCCCGCCCCGCCCCGCGGCCUCAGUUUCCCCCCCACCACCUGGGGGACCGAAGCGCGUCAUUGUCCACCAGCCCUCUGUCCCCCGAGAGACCCCCGGACAGGCUUCCGCAGCGAGGGGCGGCGCUUUUACAUUCACGAUGGCCGUGCGAAGGCUUCCAACCCGCAGUUUUUUGGCGGUGCCAGUAUUUUGGACUCUUGCCUCCAAGGAACUAGCACCCUAAUAGCCAGAAAGUUUUAAAAUUGCAAAAAUGGCAUGAGACGAUCUUCGAGACUGGGUAGAUCAAAUGGAUCCUAGUUGAACAACAACAAAACAAAAAAAGAAAGAAAGAAAAACAAAAUUUUCCUAAAUAUAUAAAAGAGGAGAGAAGAUCCUUGGAAUUGCAGAAGUCUUUUCAAAAUGGAUUCUGGCUCUGGCCAGUGUGGGUCAGUGGUUAGAGCGUGGCCUGUCUACCGAAGGGUCUCCGGUUCGAUUCCCAGUCAAGGGCACAUACCUGGGUUGCAGGUUUGAUUCCCCAGCCCCUGUUGGGGCGUGUGCAUGAGGCAACCAGUUGAUGUGUUUCUCUCACAUCGAUAUUUCUCUCACACACACUCUCU